rnacentral:rRNA from 1 species
GACGAACGCUGGCGGCGUGCUUAACACAUGCAAGUCGAACGGUAAGGCCCGGCGUUUGCGCUGUGCGGAUGUGUCGAAAACGGGAGUGACACGUGAGUGUCCCGCGCUCUACUCUCUGGUAUCUGCCGGAGACUCGGGGUAUUAUCCUGGAUACGCUACGGCAGCGUAGGGUGGUUUGUAGAGUUUCGGCGGUUGGGGAUGGACUCGCGGCUUAUCAGCUUGUUGGUGGGGUAGGGGCUUACCAAGGCUUUGACGGGUAGCCGGCCUGAGAGGGUGACCGGCCACACUGGGACUGAGACACGGCCCAGACUCCUACGGGAGGCAGCAGUGGGGAAUAUUGCACAAUGGGCGGAAGCCUGAUGCAGCAACGCCGCGUGAGGGAUGACGGCCUUCGGGUUGUAAACCUCUUUCGGCAGUGAAGAAGCGUGAGUGACGGUAAUGGGUGAAGAAGCACCGGCUAACUACGUG